AGUGAACGCUGGCGGUAGGCCUAACACAUGCAAGUCGAACGGCAGCACAGUAAGAGCUUGCUCUUACGGGUGGCGAGUGGCGGACGGGUGAGGAAUACAUCGGAAUCUACUUUUUCGUGGGGGAUAACGUAGGGAAACUUACGCUAAUACCGCAUACGACCUACGGGUGAAAGCAGGGGAUCUUCGGACCUUGCGCGAUUGAAUGAGCCGAUGUCGGAUUAGCUAGUUGGCGGGGUAAAGGCCCACCAAGGCGACGAUCCGUAGCUGGUCUGAGAGGAUGAUCGGCCACACUGGAACUGAGCCACGGUCCAGACGCCUACGGGAGGCAGCAGUGGGGAAUAUUGGACAAUGGGCGCAAGCCUGAUCCAGCCAUACCGCGUGUGUGAAGAAGGCCUUCGGGUUGUAAAGCCCUUUUGUUGGGAAAGAAAAGCAGCAGGUUAAUACCCCGCUGUUCUGACGGUACCCAAAGAAUAAGCACCGGCUAACUACGUG
rnacentral:rRNA from 1 species